rnacentral:tRNA from 1 species
GCUUGAGAAGCUCAAUUGGUAGAGCAGAGAAUUGAAGAUUCUUUGGUUGUAGGUUCAAAUCCUAUCUCAGGCA